CUGUGCUCCCCCCGCAGGCGCGCACGGGAUGCUGCACCUCACGGAGCCGCGCAGGGUCCUCGCCGGCCCGGGCCGGGUGUCCUACGCCCUGACGAUGGACGGGAAGCCGUACACCGUGCACCUGCAGCAGCAGCUCUUCAUACCCAGCGAGUUCAGGGUCUACACCUACAACGGACGGGGGUCGCUGCUGUCCAACUUCGCAGCGGUUAAGGCUGACUGCUACUACCAAGGAUACAUUGAAGGUGUCCCGAACUCAGCUGUGACGCUUAGCACCUGCUCCGGGCUCAGAGGGCUGUUGCAAUUUGAGAAUGUCAGCUAUGGGAUUGAGCCGCUGGAUUCCUCAUCUGGAUUUGAGCACCUUGUUUAUCAAAUAAAAAACGGAUCCACUGAAAGGCCGCUCUUUGAGAACGAUGACAUGUUUAGAGAUGGAGAGCAGGUGACCGGAGAGGUGUCCCGUACCCUGCACGUUGAAUUAGCAGCUGCCAUUAAAUCGGCCAGAUAUCUGGAACUGGCGAUAGUUUUGGACAAGGGUUUGUACAACUACAUGGGGCCAGACAAGAACGUUGUAACGCAGAAAAUAGUUCAGCUCAUUGGCUUUGUCAAUAGCAUGUUCAGCCGCCUUAAUGUGACAAUCGUUCUGUCUUCCCUGGAGUUCUGGACAGAUUAUAACAAAAUCAUUACAACAGGGGAAGCUAACGAAUUACUACAUCGAUUUGUAAAGUGGAAAAACUCCCAUCUUGUCCUGCGGCCCCACGACAUGGCAUAUUUACUUGUGUACAGGGAUCACCCUCGUUAUGCAGGGACGACGUUUGCCGGGAAGAUGUGUGUCAGCAACUAUUCUGGAGCCGUUGCGCUGUACCAAGACGCGGUGACCCUGGAAAGCUUUUCCAUCAUUGUUGCCCAGCUGCUGGGGCUGAGUCUGGGCAUGACCUACGACGAUGCGAGGACCUGUCAGUGUUCUGGACCCACCUGCAUCAUGCACAGGAAUGCCAUACUGUUCAGUGGUGUAAAAAGCUUCAGUAGCUGCAGCAUUGGAGACUUUGAAACCUUUAUUAAACAUAGCGGAGGACACUGCCUUUCCAAUAGGCCGCAUUUGAAUCCAUCCUACAAGAGUCCAAGCUGUGGCAAUGGUAUUAUAGAAGAUGGAGAGCAAUGUGACUGUGGCUCCGCACAGGAAUGCACACAGAAUAGAUGCUGUACUACGGGGUGUAGAUUAGCAAGAGGCGCGCGGUGUGCUACUGGGUUAUGCUGCUAUAGCUGUCAGAUAAAAGCAAGGAACAGGAAAUGCAGAGAGAGGGUGGAUAAUCAAUGCGAUCUCCCCGAGUUCUGCAACGGGACCUCAGCAUUCUGUCCACGGGACGUCUUUGUCCAAAAUGGGCACAAAUGCGAGCACAACGCUGGCUACUGUUACAACGGGUAUUGCCAGGCUGCUGACCUCCAGUGCCAGAGAAUCUACGGGAGAGGUUCCAAAAAUGGCCCUGAUGCCUGUUACGAAGAAGUCAAUAGUCAAACAGAUAGGUUUGGCCACUGCGGAAAUGAUCCAAACAUGGGAUACAAGAGCUGCAGCUGGACGAAUCUCAAGUGCGGGAAGUUAAUUUGUACCUAUCCAAUUCGUGUUCCAUUUAUUCAAGAAAACACGGCUGUGAUUUAUGCUCAAGUGCGUGAGGAUCUGUGCGUGUCUUUAGAUUACAUGCAGCCAGCGACAGCGAAAGACCCCAUGAUGGUGAAAGACGGCACAAUGUGUGCUACCGGCAAGGUUUGCAUGAAUGGAAAGUGCCAAGUAGAAGGCGUUCUGGGCUACGAUUGCAAUCCAGCAACAAAGUGCAAUGGACACGGGGUAAGUUUGAGUAAUGUUAUUCCCAUGUGAUGGUGCCUAGUCUCGGCAGGUAAAGCGGCAGGUGGUUUCGGGAUACGACCCCACGCUGCGAUGCCUGGUAACAGGCUACGGCAGCAGUUUGGCCUGGCAGGUAUGGCCAGAGCCUCUCCUGCGACCUAUUAGAUUCCCUAGGCUGCAGGUGAACGUCCAGUUCUCCUGAGACAAAGCGCAGGCGGACAGAUGCCCGUGUCCUUUGUCCCGGGAGAAAUCCUACAAAAGGUUCCUGGCUGAAAAAGCAGUCACAGGUUUUCCUAGGACACGGCAAAGGGUGCCUGCAGCCCCAGCACGGUGGCAGAAAGGCUGCACUGCAUUCAGCCCCUCGGUGAACCCAGAUUCGUCGGGCGAUGCAUAUACACGCUGGUCCUGGGAUCCUUUUGUCUUGGGAUACUCCCCCGCGUGACUUAUCGAGGGACAAAUGCAAUGCCUGUUCCUAGCCGAAGGGGAUUUAGGUGUGUAAGUGGAGUCGGGGUCCCCACUGUUGCGGGCCUAAAGAGCUAACUGGUGUGUCCUAGGGUGGCUGAGUCCCCUCCUGCCGGCUGUGUUUCCUGCCUUCGUUGAACCCCUGGUCCAAAAGGAAUGGCCUGACCGGGUGUGCAAUAACAAGAAAAAUUGCCACUGCGAUCCUGGCUGGCAGCCUCCAAAUUGCCAAACCAGAGGAUCCGUG